AACUAUUACAGUCAAUACCAGAGUGAGA
rnacentral:sRNA from 1 species